UCACAAUAUCAUGGCCUCUGUUCAGGGU
rnacentral:piRNA from 1 species